UCUUUACAAAAGUAAAAAAAACUCAGAAUAUAUUGCUUGUUCUUAUAACAGUUGGAUUAUUUGCGAAAAAGUUAAUAAUCGAAAGAGAAACAACUCGUAAAUGUCUUUUAUUGCUCUUGAGGAUACUUUAUUCUAAAGAUACUUUUCAUCGAAAAUAUUUUUCCUGUUGGCUUAGAAGUAGCUCUCUUUUUUUGAAAGUGUAAUAACUCAGUAUA
rnacentral:rRNA from 1 species